UUGAGCUGGUAGCGGGCAGUGUAAAAGCUUGUGCUGAGCGCUUUCUAUUUUAAGUCUGGAGAGUUAGGGUUCUAACUGGGUCACAGCAGGCAGCGAGGGGAUUGAAGGAAACUCUCGUGUCAGGAACAGGAGCACAGGAGCGGCACAGUCUUGGGCCAGCUGCGGACAGGGGGUGGGUCUGCAACAGAGGGGCUCCUGGGGACAGUGCUGAGACACAAAUGUCUCCAGGGUGACAGUUUAUGAAUUCUGAAACCCUCCUUUCCUCCAUUCAUGGAAUCAGGACACUCCACUCUUAGGAUUGCUGGGCAAAUUUUGCUGGUGAUUUACUAGAGGAGACAGGCCCGGCCACUCCCUCCCUCGCCAUCCACCUGCGAAGGGCUGCCUGAAACCCAGCCUACUCAGAGGGCACUCUGCGUUGCCUUUUACAGUCUGGGUGGACAAAGAGAGGCUUCAGGAGCCAAGCCGGACCCAAAGGAGAAGGAGACACCCGCCCCCCCCCCCCACGGCCACCUCUGUCCCCAGGAGAAACCUGCCGCAUCACCGCUGCCGCUGACCCGCCCCUCCCAGCUGAAGACACACCUGGGCUGGAGGAGGACGCUCACCUGUUUCCCCAUGGGCAGCUCUAUGGGCCUGGGGGGGAACAGGGUCCCAUCGGUGCUCCCUAGUUCUCUCUCAAGGCUGGGGGUGGCAGAGAGGGGGGGUUUAAUGUUUCCCACUUGACCUUUCCUCCCCCACCCCCUGCCCCCAGCGCAGCGGGCGGGCGGACUGAAGGGCUGAAUGGAGCGGAGGGCACGAUUUUCACAUUAAUGGCAGCAUAUGUUGUGCUUAUUGACACCGCAGGGUCGGUGCUUGUGGUGGUGGUGGUGGGGGGUGCCUAGGAGGCCACAGGCAGGAGGGGGCAAGGGGAAGAGGAGGCAGAGGGGAAGGCUGCCUGCGGGUGGGGGGUGGAGAGGGGAGCCUGGGGCCUGGGGGGAGGGAGGCAGGAACAAUAUUGUUGCAGGAGCACACCAGGUGCUCGCUGUCAGCCGAACAAAAAGGAAGAGUCAGCAACUCUGGGGGGGUGGGGAGGCGGGAGCCACCGCCUGCUCCAGUCUUGCAGCCUCUCCCUGUUAACCCCUGCUCUGCUGGGCAGCUGAAGAGCAGAGGGGCCCCUGGGACUCCCCACAGCCCUGGGCUCUUCGGAGUCACCGCAUUCCCCUGACGAUCUGGGAGAUGCGGUUGGGCAGUGGCAAGACUUCGCUCCACCUUCCCCAAAGCCGGAAGGAAUAGCAGGCUCUCUCCGUCCUUCCCUUUCUGCAGCGGAGGGGUUUGCGCGGCCUUGGGAAAGUUGGCAAAGCAGAGUGGCGGGGGCCGAUGACCUUGAGCUUCGGAAGGCAGCUGCAGCCAGGUCUUUUCAACUUCAGCAUCCCAGGAUGGGAGAGAUCCGCGCAGAAGCGACCCCCAGAGACAUGAUGAAGACACUCAGCGGGCUGGGCCACAACUCCGAAGACCCAGAAACUCAGGAUCCCAGAAACCCAGCCAGAAAGCCCGGAGCCGAUAGAAAGUGGAAGCAGCAGAGCCGGAAAGAGAGGGGGUGGGUGUCUCUGAUGCCCACUCAGCGUGCAGAACCACCUGCAAGCUCCCUGCUGAUGGCCUGGGAAAGCAGCAGAAGAUGGCCCAGGUCCUUGGGCCCCUGCACCCACAUGGGAGACCUGGAAGAAGCUCCUUGCUCCAGGUUUCGGAUCAGCGCAGCUCCAGCCAUUGCAGCCAUCUGGGGAGUGAACCAUCGGAUGGAAGACCUCUCUCUCUCUCUCUCUCUCUCUCUCUCUCUCUCUGCCUCUCCUCUCUGUGUAACUUUGACUUUCAAAUAAAUUAAUUUAAAAAACGAAAAGAAAAAGAAAGCAAGAAAGUAUUGCAUAUGGGAUUCAGGAUGUCAAGUGCCCUGGGCUGGAGGCUGGAACCAGGAUGAAGGGACCGUUUGGCUGGUUGUGAGUUAUUGCCAAGGCCUGAGAUUUUGUUUUGGGUGAUAAAUUCAUGAGAUGCUUAUAAUAUUUUUAAAAGCAACUAAUAAAGAAACUAAGUAUAUAAGAAAGUACUCCAUGCAAGAGCAAAUGAUGACAGUGUAAACCAAGGAAUAUGAUAAAUUCAGUUCUGUGAACCCAGGUUCUAAUGGAAAAAGAAAGAAAGGAAGCUAACUGACAAGGAAGUAACUUUCUCACUCUGGGGUUCUGUGCGAUUUAACGUCCUGUCAAUGCACCAUCAAAGAUCAUCGGACAUUCGAACAGGGGGCCUGGUCCCUUCCCUUGGAUAAACAGCCCUAAAACCUCUCUGCCCUAGGCUGCCUGCUGGAGGUCCAGUGAGGAACUGGCAGCUCUGGGAGACAGUUGCCUCGCCUGGUCCUUUUGUGGGGAGACUUUGCCCUGCCGGACACAGCUCAGCCUCCCUGCGAUGCAUCUUGCUCUCCUCUUGGCGCCUGGCACGGGCUUGGGCACCCAGGAACCCAGAAUUUGCAUAUUGAUUGCUUCCCGAUGGAGCCUCCUGCCCUGGGGCUGGAGCCUCACUAGGGAAGACAAAAGGGUUCCUGAUUAUCUGCUGGGACACAGCCUGGUGCCAAGUGUGAGCCCUGAUUUCUUUCUAGGAGAAAAUCAGCAUUUUCCAAAAAAAAAAAAUCUUUAAGCAAUUUUCUGAUAAGCUUUUAAUGGGAUGCAGAUUUCCUCUUCGAAGUAAGUCUCCCAGCUAUUUUACCAAGGGUAGGAGUUUAAUUAAUUUUAUCCAGACAUUAUUUUUUUUAACAAUGAUUUUUAAACAAUGAUUCUAACCCCUCUUCUUCCCUCUAAAUGUGUCCACCAAGAGGGCACCUCGAGUUGGCCCCCUCCAGGUCUCUUCCACUUGCAGCAAGGCUGAAAUAAAAUUUGAACAUGUGCUCAUAA